rnacentral:rRNA from 1 species
UACGUAGGGUGCGAGCGUUAAUCGGAAUUACUGGGCGUAAAGCGUGUGCAGGCGGGGGGGUAAGUGGUGUAUGAAAUGUCCCGGCUCAACCGGGAGGGGUUAUGCCAGACUGCAUCUCUUGAGUGCGAGAGAGGAGCGUGGAAUUCCGGGUGUAGUGGUGAAAUGCGUAGAGAUCCGGAGGAACCCCAGAGGCGAAGGCGGCGCUCUGGCUCGCAACUGACGCUCAGACACGACAGCAUGGGGAGCGAACGGG